GUAUGGUGCAAGCGUUAUCCGGAUUUACUGGGUGUAAAGGGAGCGUAGACGGAGCAGCAAGUCUGGAGUGAAAACCCGGGGCUCAACCCCGGGACUGCUUUGGAAACUGUUGUUCUAGAGUGCUGGAGAGGUAAGUGGAAUUCCUAGUGUAGCGGUGAAAUGCGUAGAUAUUAGGAGGAACACCAGUGGCGAAGGCGGAUUACUGGACAGUAACUGACGUUGAGGCUCGAAAGCGUGGGGAGCAAACAGGAUUAGAUACCCUGGUAGUCCACGCCGCAAACGAUGACUGCUAGGUGUCGGGUGGCAAAGCCAUUCGGUGCGCAGCUAACGCAAUAAGCAGUCCACCUGGGGAGUACGUUCGCAAGAAUG
rnacentral:rRNA from 1 species